GAUGAACGCUGGCGGCGUGCCUAACACAUGCAAGUCGAACGAAGCACCUUACCUGAUUCUUCGGAUGAAAGUUUGGUGACUGAGUGGCGGACGGGUGAGUAACGCGUGUGUAACCUGCGCUGUACAGGGGGAUAACAGCUGGAAACGGCUGCUAAUACCGCAUAAGCGCACGAGGAGACAUCUCCUUGUGUGAAAAACUCCGGUGGUACAGGAUGGGCCCGCGUCUGAUUAGCUGGUUGGCAGGGUAACGGCCUCCCAAGGCAACGUCGAGUAGCCGGUAUGAGAGACAGAACCGCCACAUUGGAGCUGAGCCGCAGUCCAAACUCCUACGGGAGGCAGCAGUGGCGAAUAGUGCACAAUGGCGGGAAUCCAGAUGCAGCUACGCCGGGUGAGUGAAGAUGUAUUUCGGUAUGUAAAGCUCUAUCAGCAGGGAAGAUAAUGACGGUACCUGACCAAGAAGCUCCGGCUAAAUACGUG
rnacentral:rRNA from 1 species